rnacentral:rRNA from 1 species
UGGGGAAUAUUGCGCAAUGGGCGAAAGCCUGACGCAGCAACGCCGCGUGAGUGAUGAAGGCCUUCGGGUCGUAAAGCUCUGUCGGAGGGAACGAAUGCUCUUGAGGUUAACAGCCUCGGGAGGUGACGGUACCCUCAAAGGAAGCACCGGCUAACUCUGUGCCAGCAGCCGCGGUAAUACAGAGGGUGCAAGCGUUGUUCGGAAUCAUUGGGCGUAAAGCGCGCGUAGGUGGCUUGAUAAGCCGGUUGUGAAAGCCCCGGGCUCAACCUGGGAACGGCAUCCGGAACUGUCAAGCUAGAGUGCAGGAGAGGAAGGUAGAAUUCCCGGUGUAGCGGUGAAAUGCGUAGAGAUCGGGAGGAAUACCAGUGGCGAAGGCGGCCUUCUGGACUGACACUGACACUGAGGUGCGAAAGCGUGGGUAGCAAACAGGAUUAGAUACCCUAGUAGUCCCUGAGCGGGCUGGCAAGGCGCAU